AUAUCUAAUUGAUUGUUGGUAUUAUAAAGUAUUUAAGAUGAUACAUACCAUGUAACACCAUGCUGCAACGUGAUGU